rnacentral:rRNA from 1 species
UACGUAGGGUGCGAGCGUUGUCCGGAAUUAUUGGGCGUAAAGAGCUCGUAGGCGGUGUGUCACGUCGUUCGUGAAAACCUGCAGCUUAACUGUGGGCGUGCGGUCGAUACGGGCAUCACUGGAGUUCGGCAGGGGAGACUGGAAUUCCUGGUGUAGCGGUGAAAUGCGCAGAUAUCAGGAGGAACACCGGUGGCGAAGGCGGCUCUCUGGACCACAACUGACGCUGAGGCGCGAAAGCUAGGGGAGCAAACAGG